rnacentral:lncRNA from 1 species
GUAACAUUUUGACGCUUUAUUUAUAUAUUUUCAAAAAUUUCCACUAUGAGGACUACAGUAGAUUUUUCAUCAUGAUUUAGGGGAGGGGGGGGUGUUUGUUCGACAUUUGGCGUGUCAAUUCCUUUGACUUAUUGUUUUUGAUUUUAUGACGUCUCUCUACUUUCAUCAAAAUCGUUCGAUUGAAUCGUCACGUUCAAAAGAGUAAAUUAUGUUGAAUGAUUAAAGAAAUGCCAUCUCCCUUUCAAUUUAUGGAAAUCAGUUCGGGCUUCCUGAUUCCUAUUUUUUAGUGGUGCUGUUGUCUAAGCUGCUUUCCAUUCACUAACAUAUCGUCUCUUGCUACCUAUACUGGAGGUGACUGGAGGUAUUCUAAUGGCAGUUUCAAAGAUCACGUGCUGCUGUUCCAUUGACUGAGAACUGAUGAACUUGUUUAAGGUUACCCUUCGCCAUUGUGCUAGGAUUAGAAGUAGUGGAUGGUUAAAAGCAGAUCUUGAUGAUUAUCUAGAGAAUCCCAGUGCUGGAGCUCGGCGUUGCUGCCACUUGUGUACUUUUGGUGGUUACUGGUUGAUCCUUCUCUUCAUUGCUUUCGUAGAAUCGGGGCAACCACAGAAACUAAAGUCAGUAUCCAGACGCACGAGUAAAUCCAAUGACAUUUUUCAGGUGGUAUUGAAAACUCGAAUCGCCCAGAAGUGUUCCGUCGAGUGCCGCUAGUAGAAGAGACGACAAUCACGAGGAUUCGGCUUCGUCUUCUCGACACCAGCAAACACUUUCUUGCUCCAAAACCUGACAGAGCAUCGACUUGGAUGCCUGACUCUCUCGGCAACAGCAGCCAACUCAACGGGGUAACUGAUCAUUUCCGGAUUUCGUCAAGAAGGAAAUCCGCGUAUCCAUCAUCAUACUGUCGGCUUUUGCCGCUUUUGCUCUUGGCAAUCAGUUUUUUAAUCCAAUUUUUCUUUU